UGCAGUCGAACGGAAUAGACUUUGGGUAACCUGUGUUUAUGUUAGUGGCGAACGGGUGAGUAAUAAAUGGUUAACGUACCCCGGACUCAGGGAUAGCGGCGGAACUUCGGUUCCUUUGCGAAAGUGCCGGUAAUACCUGAUGACACCGCGAGAUCUCCUGGUCUUGCGGUCAAAGCUCCGACGGUCUGGGAGCGGACCAUUUCCUAUCAGCUUGUUGGUGGGGUAAAGGCCUACCAAGGCAUCGACGGGUACUGGGUGUGAGAGCAUGACCCAGCACAUCGGGACUGAGACACUGCCCGGACACCUACGGGUGGCUGCAGCAACGAAUAUUCCGCAAUGGACGAAAGUCUGACGGAGCGACGCCGCGUGCAGGAUGAAGUCUUUCGGGAUGUAAACUGCUGUCAGGGGUUAGAAAGAAAGUGAUCAACCCCAAAGGAAGCCUCGGCUAACUCCGUGCCAGCAGCCGCGGUAAUACGGAGGAGGCAAGCGUUGUUCGGAAUCACUGGGCUUAAAGGGCGUGUAGGCGGAAUGCAAGGUGCUUUGUGAAAGCCCUCGGCUCAACCGGGGAAUUGCUUGGCAAACCGGCAUUCUUGAGGCAGGUAGAGGCGAUCGGAACGUUCGGUGGAGAGGUGAAAUUCGUAGAUAUCGAACGGAACGCCGGUGGCGAAAGCGGAUCGCUGGGCCUGUCCUGACGCUGAGACGCGAAAGCGUAGGUAGCGAACGGGAUUAGAUACCCCGGUAGUCUACGCCGUACACGAUGCGCACUACGUACGAGGAGUUCUGACGCUGUUCGUGCCGGGGCAAAAGUGUUAAGUGCGCCGCCUGGGGAGUACGGCCGCAAGGCUAACACUCGAAGGAAUUGACGGUUGCUCACACAAGCGGUGGAGCAUGUGGAUUAAUUCGAAGCAACGCGAAGAACUUAC
rnacentral:rRNA from 1 species